UGCAGAUUGAUCCAGAGCUUUCAAGGACUGUGGUUGUUGCAACAAAGCUUGAUACCAAAAUACCUCAGUUUGCACGAGCUUCUGAUGUGGAAGUUUUCCUUUCCCCACCAGCCAGUACACUUGAUGGAUUUAUGUUGGGUGAUUCUCCCUUUUUUACAUCUGUCCCUUCUGGGAGAGUUGGUUUUGGACCUGAAUCAGUUUUCAGAUCCAAUGAUGAGUUCAAACAGGCUAUUUCAUCAAGGGAGGUGGAAGAUUUAGUAGCAUUGGAGGAGAAGUUGGGCAGAGUACUUUCAAAGCAGGAAAGAAGCAGAAUAGGUGUUAAUAGCCUUAGGCUGUUCUUGGAGGAGUUGCUCCUGAAAAGGUACAUGGAUAGUGUGCCAUCAAUAAUUCCCCUCCUCGAGAAAGAGUACCGGAGCAGCACUAGAAAGCUGAGUGAAUUAGAUCAACAACUCAGCUCUUUGAAUGAAGCAAAACUGAAGGAGAAAGGAAGAACUUUCCAUGAUCUAUUUCUGACCAAG
rnacentral:misc_RNA from 1 species